rnacentral:sRNA from 1 species
UGUAUCUGAAGUCUGACGAGGAUGAGAAGCUCCGGGGGCAAGAGGUUCGACUCGAGCGAAGCGAGAGAACGUUGCGUCAGCAACGGCCCGCAGGGCGAGCCACGCAGUGGCGAGUCAUCCUCUAUCACCGACCA